rnacentral:rRNA from 1 species
GUCUGUGUGAUAUUAAUAUAUAGUCUGACCUGCCCACUGAAUAGUUUAAAGGGCUGCGGUAAUUUGACCGUGCAAAGGUAGCAUAAUCAAUAGUCUCUUAAUUGGAGGCUUGGAUGAAAGGUUGGACGGAAAGGUGACUGUCUUUCUGUGUUAUUGAAUUUAACAUUUGUGUGAAAAGGCAUAAAUAAUUUAGGGGGACGAUAAGACCCUAUAAAACUUGACAUAUAUAAAUUAUUAUAUAGAAUAGUUAAUUAAUUUAUAAAAUGGUUUGGAGUGUUUUGCUGGGGCGGCAUGGAUAUAAAUAGAUUAGUAACUGUCAUUUUAAUUAAAUAUUUGUUUGUAGAUUAGGAUCCUUUAUUAAGGAAAAAAGAGUAAGUUACUUUAGGGAUAACAGCAUAAUUUUUUCUGAGAGUUCUUAUCGAAGAAAUAAGUUGUGACCUCGAUGUUGAAUUAAAAUAUUCUCCGGGAGUAGAAAUUCGGAAGGAUGGGACUGUUCGUCCUGUAAUUUUUUACAUGAUUUGAGUUCAAACCGGUG